GAUGAACGCUGGCGGCGUGCCUAAUACAUGCAAGUCGAGCGAACGGACGAGAAGCUUGCUUCUCUGAUGUUAGCGGCGGACGGGUGAGUAACACGUGGAUAACCUACCUAUAAGACUGGGAUAACUUCGGGAAACCGGAGCUAAUACCGGAUAAUAUUUUGAACCGCAUGGUUCAAAAGUGAAAGACGGUCUUGCUGUCACUUAUAGAUGGAUCCGCGCUGCAUUAGCUAGUUGGUAAGGUAACGGCUUACCAAGGCAACGAUGCAUAGCCGACCUGAGAGGGUGAUCGGCCACACUGGAACUGAGACACGGUCCAGACUCCUACGGGAGGCAGCAGUAGGGAAUCUUCCGCAAUGGGCGAAAGCCUGACGGAGCAACGCCGCGUGAGUGAUGAAGGUCUUCGGAUCGUAAAACUCUGUUAUUAGGGAAGAACAUAUGUGUAAGUAACUGUGCACAUCUUGACGGUACCUAAUCAGAAAGCCACGGCUAACUACGUGCCAGCAGCCGCGGUAAUACGUAGGUGGCAAGCGUUAUCCGGAAUUAUUGGGCGUAAAGCGCGCGUAGGCGGUUUUUUAAGUCUGAUGUGAAAGCCCACGGCUCAACCGUGGAGGGUCAUUGGAAACUGGAAAACUUGAGUGCAGAAGAGGAAAGUGGAAUUCCAUGUGUAGCGGUGAAAUGCGCAGAGAUAUGGAGGAACACCAGUGGCGAAGGCGACUUUCUGGUCUGUAACUGACGCUGAUGUGCGAAAGCGUGGGGAUCAAACAGGAUUAGAUACCCUGGUAGUCCACGCCGUAAACGAUGAGUGCUAAGUGUUAGGGGGUUUCCGCCCCUUAGUGCUGCAGCUAACGCAUUAAGCACUCCGCCUGGGGAGUACGACCGCAAGGUUGAAACUCAAAGGAAUUGACGGGGACCCGCACAAGCGGUGGAGCAUGUGGUUUAAUUCGAAGCAACGCGAAGAACCUUACCAAAUCUUGACAUCCUUUGACAACUCUAGAGAUAGAGCCUUCCCCUUCGGGGGACAAAGUGACAGGUGGUGCAUGGUUGUCGUCAGCUCGUGUCGUGAGAUGUUGGGUUAAGUCCUGCAACGAGCGCAGCCCUUAAGCUUAGUUGCCAUCAUUAAGUUGGGCACUCUAAGUUGACUGCCGGUGACAAACCGGAGGAAGGUGGGGAUGACGUCAAAUCAUCAUGCCCCUUAUGAUUUGGGCUACACACGUGCUACAAUGGACAAUACAAAGGGCAGCGAAACCGCGAGGUCAAGCAAAUCCCAUAAAGUUGUUCUCAGUUCGGAUUGUAGUCUGCAACUCGACUACAUGAAGCUGGAAUCGCUAGUAAUCGUAGAUCAGCAUGCUACGGUGAAUACGUUCCCGGGUCU
rnacentral:rRNA from 1 species